rnacentral:lncRNA from 10 species
AGGCUAAAGCAGGAGGUAAAGAAAUAGUGAAAUCAUAUAUCGCCUGAGAGCACAGGGGGAGGGACAAUGAUCGGGAUAUAAACACCAGCAUUGGAGCAGGGAGCGGCAUCCCCCUUUGGGUCCCCUCCCACUUUAUGGGAGCUCUGUUUUUCACUCUAUUAAAUCUUGCAACUGCAUUCUUCUGGUCCAUAUUUAUUACUGCUCGAGCUGAGCUUUUGCUCGCUGUCCACCACUGCUGUUUGCCGCUGUCGCAGACCCGCGGCUGACUUCACCCCUCUAGAUCCGGCAGGGUGUCUGCUGCACUUCUGACCCAGUGAGGCAGCGCCCACUGCCGCUCCCAAUCGGGCUAGAGGCUCGCCAUUGUUCCUGCGAGGGCUAAGUGCCCCGAGUUCGUCCUAAUCGAGCUGAAUAGAGGUAUAACACUCACCGCAUGGUCCAAGAUUCCAUUCCUUGAAAUCCGUGAGGCCAAGAACCCCAGGUCAGAGAACAAGAGGCUUGCCACCAUCUUGGAAGCUCUAAGAACAAGGAUGCCCAGGAAGGAUUCGCCCUCAGGCUGAUUCUGGACCAAAACAAACAGAACAUUCCACCUGGCAGCAGCCAAGUCCCCAGCACUAUUGUGCCAAGGAGACUCUUUGAUUUGCCUCAAGCCCAGAGAAUAAACUACGAUUCCAGGGGACAGCUGACUCCAGCCCAUCUACCAUGCUCCAGUAGAGACCUUCAGGUGACCCAGGUCAACACCAAGCCACCCUCUGGAGGAUCUGAUGCUGCCUCAGAAACAACACCUCAUGCCUCAUCAGAUACUAAUGGAAAUGUGGGAUACAGGCUUUUAAUAUGUGGCAAUCACAUUAAUUUCUCUGAUCCUCAAUUUAUUGCUUUGUAAAAUGAGUGUGAGCUGGGUUUCUGAACUGUGUCUCCCAAUGCUACAGGCAGUGUAGGAUCCUGGGAAGAAUAUGGUGUUUUUGAACACAGAUGUGCUUUUGUGUUUUUGUUUUUGUUUUUGUUUUGUUUUUUUGACAAAGUCGCUCUGUCACCAGGCUGGAGUUCAGUGGCGUGAUCUCUGCUCACUGCAACCCCCGACUCCCUGGUUCAAGCGAUUCUCCUGCCUCAGCUUCCUGAGUAGCUGGGAUUACAGGCGUGUGCCACCACGCCCAGUUAAUUUUUGUAUUUUUAGUAGAGACGGGGUUUCACCAUGUUGGCCAGGAUGGUCUCGAUCUCCCGACCUCGUGAUCUGUCCGCCUCGGCCUCCCAAAGUGCUGGGAUUACAGGCGUGAACCACCGCACCCGGCUGAUGUGCUUUAAAUCCCAUCCUUGCCAUUUAUAUGAUUCUGAUGGGUUCAGGACACAUUACCCCAAGGUAUAGCAGCUUGGUAUCUGAGAAAACAGCAGAAGCAGGAAAGUCUCUCAUUUUCUCCUCACCUUUCCCCAAAGCAGGUGAUAAGAUCCUCAUUCCAGGGGUAUCCUCCUAAUGUCCAGAGAAAAGGAACUACUCUACCUCUGAAGAGAUAGAGAAUAAUCUGAACAAACAGACCUUGUUAAGUUUCCCCAGUUUGUUACCAUUACAUCAUACCCCCUUUGUCCGAUACUUCACCACAACUGUCCAUUUCUUCAUCAAACUUAGUAUAAAAAUCUGUUUCCUUGUGUCUUUGGGUUUUCAUUUCUGAAAGUUCCUGUGUCACAUAAAACUUGUAUUACAUAAAUUCGUAUGCUUUUCACUGAUUAACCUUUUAUUAUAGAUACCUCAGCUAUAAACUCUGGAGGUGCAAGAAAAGAUUUCUUCUCCCCUACAAACCUGAUCAUGUUUUCUAAGAUUUUUCUUUAGGAAAAUGCAGCUAUGAAAUUUAUUUCACAAUGUUUUCUGAGGGUGAAAAGAAAUCGAGUUAGUGAAAGAGGCACAUAGAGUGCUCAAUCAUGAUGCUAAUUCCCAUCCUUGAUUACAAAAAUACAAACCUACAUAUUCCAUAGUCAUUAGAAACUUGUACACACACAGAAAAAGGACAAGAUAAAUAUAUAUUAAACUCUUAAAGUUUUUAUUUCUAGAGAUUAACAUUGAAGUGAUUAACAUUUUCUUCAUUAUGCCCCCCGUAGUUUCCAAAUUUUCUAAAAUAAACCUUUAUGACUGUUAUUACUUUUUCUUGUGGUAAAUGAUACAUAACAUAAAACUGGCCAUUUAAAACAUUUUUAAGUGUAUAUCUCAAUGGCAUUAAGUACAUUCAUCCCCUUGUGCAACCAUCAUCACCAUUCAUGUCUGGAACCUUCUUAUCACAAACAGAUACUCUUUACGCAUUAAAUCAUAAAUCCCUAUUCUCCCCCGCUGCCCCAUCCAUUAAAGACAUGGAUGUCUUUAAUGUUCAUCCAUGUCGUGGCAUGUAUCAGUUCAUUCCUUUCUAAGGCUGAAUAAUAGUCCGUGUGUAUAUACCACAUUUUGUUUAUCCAUUCAUCCAUCUGUGAAUAUUUUUAUUGUUUCUGUUUUUUAUCUAUUGUGACAUAGGAAUGCAAACAUCUGUUUGAAUCUCUGCUUUCAGUUCUUUUGGGUCCAUACCCAGAAGUGGAAUUGCUUGAUUAUAUCAUAAUUCUGCGUUUAAUUUUUUGAGGAACUGUACUGUUUUCCACAGUGGCUCUGCCAUUUUACAUUUCUACAAGCCAUGCUCGCAAAGCUUCCAAUUUCCUCACAUCCUUGUCAACACUUGUUAUUUUUCGUUGUUUUGUUUCUAAUAGCCAUCCUAAUGGGUGUGAAGUAUAACUGAUCAUUGUAGUUGUUGCAUUUCCCUGAUGUGUUGACUUGCAUUUCCCUAAUGAUUAGUGAUGUUGAG